rnacentral:rRNA from 1 species
AGUGAACGCUGGCGGUAGGCCUAACACAUGCAAGUCGAACGGCAGCACAGUAAGAGCUUGCUCUUACGGGUGGCGAGUGGCGGACGGGUGAGGAAUACAUCGGAAUCUACUUUUUCGUGGGGGAUAACGUAGGGAAACUUACGCUAAUACCGCAUACGACCUACGGGUGAAAGCAGGGGAUCUUCGGACCUUGCGCGAUUGAAUGAGCCGAUGUCGGAUUAGCUAGUUGGCGGGGUAAAGGCCACCAAGGCGACGAUCCGUAGCUGGUCUGAGAGGAUGAUCAGCAACACUGGAACUGAGACACGGUCCAGACUCCUAAGGGAGGCAGCAGUGGGGAAUAUUGGACAAUGGGCGCAAGCCUGGUCCAGCCAUACCGCGUGGGUGAAGAAGGCCUUCGGGUUGUAAAGCCCUUUUGUUGGGAAAGAAAAGCAGCAGGUUAAUACCCCGCUGUUCUGACGGUACCCAAAGAAUAAGCACCGGCUAACUUCGUG